rnacentral:rRNA from 1 species
AGACUCCUACGGGAGGCAGCAGUGGGGAAUUUUGCGCAAUGGGGGAAACCCUGACGCAGCAACGCCGCGUGAGUGACGAAGGCCUUCGGGUUGUAGAGCUCUGUCAGUUGGGAAGAAAUGCCUAUGUUAACUGCAUAGGCUAUGACGGUACCUUCAAAGGAAGCACCGGCUAACUCCGUGCCAGCAGCCGCGGUAAUACGGAGGGUGCAAGCGUUGUUCGGAUUUACUGGGCGUAAAGAGCGUGUAGGUGGUAUUAUAAGUCAGAUGUGAAAGCCCUCGGCUCAACCGAGGAAGUGCAUUUGAUACUGUAGAACUUGAGUACGGGAGAGGAAAGUGGAAUUCCUAGUGUAGAGGUGAAAUUCGCAGAUAUUAGGAAGAACACCGGUGGCGAAGGCGACUUUCUGGACCGAUACUGACACUGAGACGCGAAAGCGUGGGGGAGCAAACAGGAUUAGAUACCCUGGUAGUCCACGCCGUAACGAUGAAUACUAAGGUGGUUGGGGGCAUUAAAACCUUCAGUGCCGCAGCUAACGCAUUAAGUAUUCCGCCUGGGGGAGUACGGUCGCAAGACUAAACUCAAAGGAAUUGACGGGGGCCGGCACAGCGG